UUGAAUCCCGACUGUCGCGUAGAUAACAUACAUGUGAGUAUCAUAUAACGUUUUUACCUGAUCCUUUUUAAAAAUAAAUCUGUUAUGUGUUAUAGUUAAUCUAAAUAAAUUAUGAUGUGGUUGAAAUCUUUUCUUGAAUAUUUAUUCUCUAACGAAAGUGUAAUCAUGGGAAAGGGAAUAUUGUAGUGAAUGUAUUUCAUUAGAGCUAAUUCUGUAGCCAUGAGCCUGUAAUCCCAGGUGAAGAAUUCCCAUGUUCGGUUUUGUUAAUCAUCAAAUGUGGCCAAGGGGUGAAUUGCAUUAUUUUAGGGGAACCUCCAUUUCAUUAGUAAUUGCAUGUUAUGUGUUAUCUGCAGUUAAUGUUUUUGGUAUUUUAUUUAAACAUGUUGGAUUGAUACUAACAGAUGAAGCAUUCUGGUGCCAUGCUGUAAGCAUUAGCCAAGUAUAUUAAAUGCAUAAGCCCCAUUAAAGAUUUCAAAUAUUUUAAUUUAUGAUGCAUCAAGAUUUCUUCGUAAAAGGCUAGAUGGUAAGAUUCUAAUAUGAAUAUAUUGAAAACAUUGGAUUGAAGCUUUAUGAUAUGGCAUCCUGGUCCCUGUUUUCAUGCUGAAUAUUACUAGCCAAGCUUACUACCUGUCACCUACAAGGUUGUCAGAAGGCUUCUGAAGAGAAAUUUUUUUCUCUGGGGUGAAUUCACUAAGAUUGGCUGCCAUCAUGUCAUGGGCAAUCAUUUUUUGACUGUAGUAAGAGCUACUGUGGGUUGCCUCAUUUCAGUGUAGUUUAUGGUAUGGAUGACUGGAUGAUAUGUUUGCAGUGAAACAGAACUUUGCUGCUGAUUUGAGGGUUAAUCCUCCAUUGCACAUGCAUGCUGUAUCAUGUACUUCCUAAUUGGCAAUUUUUGGUUGUGGCAUGAUAUUCAAAUGAAAGAUGUUUCAAGAAACAUUAAACCAAUGCUUCAUAAUCAGGCAGCCUGUUGCCAUGCUGUGGGAUGUUAGCUGAACCUCCUUCAAUGUGAAGGUUACUGUUUAACACUUUCAGAUUUUUCAAUGUGUUUAUUUAGGUAGUCAUUUGUUGAGGGUGAAAUUUGCAUUACUUCAGUGAUUUUGACAUGUUGCAGUGGAUGGCUAGGUUGCAUUGAGCCAAAACUCAUGAUGCUGAUUUGAGGGUUAAUUGAUCAUGCAAGCUGUUUCAUGUGGUUCUUAAUCAGAAAUUCUUGGUUUUGGUAUGAUAUUCAAGUAAACAAGGAGUCUAUUAUGCUGUUUGCCAUUAGCUGAUCCUGUUACAUGUUAAAGGUGUUUGGAGCCAUCUCUAAGUGAAGUUUUCUUUUCAAUUUGGUGAACUGGGGAACAACAUGCUGUACCUGGAAUGAAUCAAUCCCCUGAAACACUCCUAAUACAACCAGAAAAAUGCUAUAAACUGUGAAAGAGGAACAGAAAUUAUUCCUGUUUCUUUGUUGUCCCUAAACUUAUAUUUCUUCAUGUUCAAAUAUUUACAACAACAAAAAUGUUGGUAUUGUUUCUUUGUUUUCUGUGGUCAUGUUUCUUCAUGAUUUGUGAUAAACCAGUUGUGCUUAUGUUUUGGGUUUAACAUACUGAUAAUUGUUAAAUCUUCAAUAAAAAAUAUUGAAAAAUAA